rnacentral:rRNA from 1 species
UACGAAGGGAGCUAGCGUUGUUCGGAAUUACUGGGCGUAAAGGGCGCGUAGGCGGUUUGGUAAGUCAGAUGUGAAAGCCCCGGGCUUAACCUGGGAGGUGCAUUUGAAACUGUCAGACUAGAGAUCGAGAGAGGAAAGUGGAAUUACGAGUGUAGAGGUGAAAUUCGUAGAUAUUCGUAAGAACACCAGUGGCGAAGGCGACUUUCUGGCUCGAUACUGACGCUAAGGCGCGAAAGCCAGGGGAGCGAACGGG